rnacentral:rRNA from 1 species
AUGGGAUAUUCCAGACGGCCGGAGGCUAGUGAACACAGGGACGGAUUGGCUCCUCCAGGUGUUGGCGGAGCUGUCAGAGGAAGGGCGCUUGUGUACGCUGAUGACACUAUGGAGAUGCUGGCAUGUGCGCAACGAGAUCGUCCACAACAAACGUCCGCCACCCAUCAAGGUAAAAUGGGAGCCGGUCAACUAAGCAAGAACAGCCCGUUAUUACAUGUGCGCUGGGAGCGGAAGAAGCUUGCCUGGGAGCCUCCGCCAGCGGGCUGGGUGGCGUUGAGCAUUGAUGGUUCUUUUUCGGAAGUGGACAACACAACAGGAGCUGGCAUGGUGCUUAGAGAUGAACGUGGUGCAAUUAUAUACUCCUCCUGCCAUGAGUUACAACACUGUGCAAUGCCGUUGCAAUCUGAAUUAGCAGCUUGUGUGGAAGGCGUCUCCUUAGCCAUCCAGUGGUCAUCUUUGCCAAUCGUUAUCCAAUCAGAUUGCUCAGAGCUUAUUAAGAUGACCACUGAUCAGAGAGACAACAGAUCAACAUAUAUGAUGAUGGUCCAGGAGAUUAAAUCGUUACUUCGUCAGGAUAAUAGGGAGUUCAUAUUCAAGCAUGUUAGGCAGGAACAAAAUGUUGUUAGCCACUUUUUAGCAAACUAUGGUAGAAUACAGAAGCGCACUGCAGUGUGGCUUCGGUCAGGACCGGACGAGGUACCUAACCUAUGUAAUGCAGACUUGGCCGUCGUUUGA